rnacentral:tRNA from 1 species
AGUCUUAUAUUCAAUAAAUGAUAUAAAAUUGCAAAUUUUAAGGGGUAAAUUAUUUACUAAGGCUU